AAAAUCUACACAAUUCUCAAAUUCAACAAAUACUGAGCUGUUCUCCACUGAUACGUUUUUUAAUUGUCAAACCACGGAUAUCGUUUACCUUUUGACAUGUAGCUGUCACUAACUAUACGUGGGGAAGAUAUGUCGUGCUUUUAAAAAACGCAUACUUGAACAUGUCAACUCAGCCAACUUCUCUAGACACAUUGAUACACCAAUCUCCAGACAUCUUAAAUUAUUUCAUGAGGGCUCCCCGGAAGGUUUGAAUUUGGGACCCAGAAUAGGUGAUAUUGACCUAUUACAGAGGCUAUUACAAAG